rnacentral:misc_RNA from 1 species
UGGUUCUGGCAUCGAUGAAGAACGCAGCGAAAUGCGAUAAGUAGUGUGAAUUGCAGAAUUCAGUGAAUCAUCGAAUCUUUGAACGCACAUUGCGCCCUUUGGUAUUCCUUAGGGCAUGCCUGUUCGAGCGUCAUUUUACCCCUCAAGCGCAGCUUGGUGUUGGGCGCCUGUCCCCCCCGCGCGGGCGGACUCGCCUCGAAAGCAUUGGCAGCCGUUACGUUGGCUUCGAGCGCAGCAGAAUAGCGCACGGCGUCUGGCGGUAGCGGCUCUCCAGCAAGCCACCCACCCAUUUUGACCUCGGAUCAGGUAGGGAUACCCGCUGA